rnacentral:rRNA from 1 species
UACGUAGGGCGCAAGCGUUGUCCGGAAUUAUUGGGCGUAAAGAGCUCGUAGGCGGCUUGUCGCGUCGACUGUGAAAACCCGCGGCUCAACCGCGGGCCUGCAUUCGAUACGGGCAGGCUAGAGUUCGGUAGGGGAGACUGGAAUUCCUGGUGUAGCGGUGAGAUGCGUAGAUAUCAAGAGGAACACCUGCGGCGAAGGCGGGUUGCUGGGCCGACACUGACGCUGAAGCGCGAAAGCUAGGGGAGCGAACGGG